rnacentral:rRNA from 1 species
UACGUAGGGCGCAAGCGUUGUCCGGAAUUAUUGGGCGUAAAGAGCUCGUAGGCGGCUUGUCACGUCGAUUGUGAAAGCCCGAGGCUUAACCUCGGGUCUGCAGUCGAUACGGGCUAGCUAGAGUGUGGUAGGGGAGAUCGGAAUUCCUGGUGUAGCGGUGAAAUGCGUAGAUAUCGGGAGGAACACCUGUGGCGAAAGCGGCAUACUGGACCAUAACUGACGCUGAGGCGCGAAAGCUAGGGGAGCAAACAGG